UAUUCAAUUAGCAUUAUAUCCCGGUUUUUCAUGAAGACAUUAAUUAGCUAUUAUUUUCCUAGAACUUACAUAUUUUUGCCUUUUACUCAUAUAUGUUCAAAAUGUGUACCUAAAUAGCGGAUUAUUAUUGUUGAAUCAACUCCAGCAGUUUCGUGUGUUCAUUGAGUGCAUUAUACUGAGUCAAGCAGAUUCUCUGAAUGGUCUGUCAUCAUUCUGGGUCAUAGAAUUCUGAUAACAACGCAAAUACAAUAUACAAUUCUGAACUGAAAUGGGUACAUUUUGCUCGGGCAUCUGGUUGUCAACAGCUAUUCUGUGUUUAAGUUAUCACAGUGUUUUUGCAGAAGAACCUAUGCACCAUUAUAAAAUGACCGGUCUUGUUGAAAAUGUAUACUUUAUGAAUAAAAGAACAAAUAAGGACAUUUGGAAAAAUGCGAAAUGUUUCAUAGCCGUGAAUCAUGCAGAUCCAAAUCAAGGAGAUAUAACGCAAUGGAACGGCCUGUAUCAUGAAUGUGAGAGCUUUGAAGUUUGUAUGUAUGCUGAAAGAAUGAGAAAUUUUGAUGAGACUAUCACCAUGUGGGCAACAUACGGUCCUAAGCCAGAUGAUAAGACAAUGAAUCACUUGGUAAAAGGUAUUGAAUUUUCGAAUACACCUGUUAGGUUUGGACAGCCUUAAUGAAUUGUUUUGUUUCUUUUUCACGCUUAUGUUUGUUCAUCAAAAAGAUCUUAGCAAUAAUGUCACAGUGUGUUAGCUAUUUGUUUCUCUGUUUGAUUUUUGUAUUUGAAAAUAAUGAAAUAAUUUAUGUUAUGGUUACAAAUUAAUCUUGUAUCAUCAUUUGAUGAGCGUUGUAUUUAUUUGCUGGAUUACAAUUAUAGUAGAGAAUUAUAAUGAUUGAAUUUGUG